rnacentral:rRNA from 1 species
GAUGAACGCUGGCGGCGUGCCUAAUACAUGCAAGUCGAGCGAACGGACGAGAAGCUUGCUUCUCUGAUGUUAGCGGCGGACGGGUGAGUAACACGUGGAUAACCUACCUAUAAGACUGGGAUAACUUCGGGAAACCGGAGCUAAUACCGGAUAAUAUUUUGAACCGCAUGGUUCAAAAGUGAAAGACGGUCUUGCUGUCACUUAUAGAUGGAUCCGCGCUGCAUUAGCUAGUUGGUAAGGUAACGGCUUACCAAGGCAACGAUGCAUAGCCGACCUGAGAGGGUGAUCGGCCACACUGGAACUGAGACACGGUCCAGACUCCUACGGGAGGCAGCAGUAGGGAAUCUUCCGCAAUGGGCGAAAGCCUGACGGAGCAACGCCGCGUGAGUGAUGAAGGUCUUCGGAUCGUAAAACUCUGUUAUUAGGGAAGAACAUAUGUGUAAGUAACUGUGCACAUCUUGACGGUACCUAAUCAGAAAGCCACGGCUAACUACGUGCCAGCAGCCGCGGUAAUACGUAGGUGGCAAGCGUUAUCCGGAAUUAUUGGGCGGUAAGCGCGCGUAGGCGGUUUUUUAGUCUGAUGUGAAAGCCCACGGCUCAACCGUGGAGGGUCAUUGGAAACUGGAAAACUUGAGUGCAGAAGAGGAAAGUGGAAUUCCAUGUGUAGCGGUGAAAUGCGCAGAGAUAUGGAGGAACACCAGUGGCGAAGGCGACUUUCUGGUCUGUAACUGACGCUGAUGUGCGAAAGCGUGGGGAUCAAACAGGAUUAGAUACCCUGGUAGUCCACGCCGUAAACGAUGAGUGCUAAGUGUUAGGGGGUUUCCGCCCCUUAGUGCUGCAGCUAACGCAUUAAGCACUCCGCCUGGGGAGUACGACCGCAAGGUUGAAACUCAAAGGAAUUGACGGGGACCCGCACAAGCGGUGGAGCAUGUGGUUUAAUUCGAAGCAACGCGAAGAACCUUACCAAAUCUUGACAUCCUUUGACAACUCUAGAGAUAGAGCCUUCCCCUUCGGGGGACAAAGUGACAGGUGGUGCAUGGUUGUCGUCAGCUCGUGUCGUGAGAUGUUGGGUUAAGUCCCGCAACGAGCGCAACCCUUAAGCUUAGUUGCCAUCAUUAAGUUGGGCACUCUAAGUUGACUGCCGGUGACAAACCGGAGGAAGGUGGGGAUGACGUCAAAUCAUCGUGCCCCUUAUGAUUUGGGCUACACACGUGCUACAAUGGACAAUACAAAGGGCAGCGAAACCGCGAGGUCAAGCAAAUCCCAUAAAGUUGUUCUCAGUUCGGAUUGUAGUCUGCAACUCGACUACAUGAAGCUGGAAUCGCUAGUAAUCGUAGAUCAGCAUGCUACGGUGAAUACGUUCCCGGGUCU